UGGAAUUGAAGGAAAGAACAUUGUUUUUGGAAUUAAAUCGAGGAGAUUUAGCAAUGGCUCAGAGUGUGUUCGACGAAAUGCCAGAGAAGGAGGUGAUAUCUUGGAAUGCAAUGGUUUCAUCAAUACACCAUCCCCUUUGGAGCACCUCGUCUCUCUCUACAUCUCUGUCUUUCUCUGUCCAGAAACACAUUCUAAAUUCUCAACUAUUCAAUUUGUUUAGCAAUAUAUAUACUCCUUUUAUCAAUUUGCUAAAAGGUAAAAGCUAAAUUUCUGUCCAGAUCAUAACUUUAGCAAUUGCUCAAAGUGU
rnacentral:lncRNA from 1 species